GAAGGGCUAAGGGUGUGUUAUAAAAUGUUGAAUAUAAAAUUUUUGAUAAAAUGAUUAGACUUAGGUUAUUUAAUGAGAUUGUAUAUCUCAUCAUAAUAUGACACACAACUUUUAAAGAUUCACAUGUUUAUUAUAUUUACAACUAUACAAUACAAAGUUGAAUCUGCCACAUUAACACAUAUAUAGUAUUCUUCUUCGAGUACACUACCCAGACAGUCAACAAAUGAUCGAAAGUCUAUUGGGAGGGGAGAUAACUCUCAAAUACGGAAGUAUACAAGCAUGUUUCCAGAAGUCGAGCCGGAGAGGUCUGUCACGGAACCAGCAGAAAUAUGGCUAGUGGCAGGGGUGGCUUCAGUGGUGACCUCAGUUGCGACUCCAGUGUUGACCCUGAAGUCAAAAGGCUACCAGCUGAGGGACAUUCAUCUUCCAUUGAUGGAUAUGAUUUUGUGGUGUUUUACUCUGACAGUGACAGAAAUGAAGCAUUCAAAAUUGCAGAACGGUUGGAGAGGCAGGGAAAAUUCAGGGGCUAUCUGGAUGACCGUGAUGCCAAGCCAGGGCGUACAGAAAUAGAGAAUUUAGAUUUUGCUCUUGAUAACUGCAAGGCCUAUAUCAUGCUUCUGUCAAAGUCGUUCUUCGAGAGCACCUUCCAGAGAUUUGCAAUGCAUACAGGGCUUUAUAAUUCAGUGUUGGGCACAACAUUUACAAACCGACUCUUGCCACUGCUGGUUGAUGUAGACUUUAAUGAUAUGCCAUCUUCAUUAAGAAUUAUUCAAGGAAUCCUCUAUCAGGCAGAAAAUGAAUACUUUUGGGGAAAGUUGGAAAAAAAGUUUGAUUCAAAUCAGUAACUCAUAACAAGACUUGUCCUUUUGUGAUUAUGUCACAGUUGUGACUGGAAUGUUGAGACAAAUCUUGAUGAACAACGAUUUCAGUGGCCAUGACAGUCUGUGGAAUCUCAAGACCAAGGCUAAAUAUGGACCCAUAGACAUGUGGCACCAAUAUGGAAUGUUUGGGCUAUUUGUGACACACAGAAGUAAAAAGCUCUAUUUCAGACAUGAGCUGGUUUAUGAACCCAACCUACCUAAAAUGGAAGUGAUGUUGAGAGUAGACAAUUAAAAGACCAUGACACAUGCUACACUGGAAAUGUUGCAGCGUGUGUGAUAUACCUUGUGUGUUCUGUCAUAUAUCCUGCCCCUGGAAGCCGACAUUGCCAGGAAUGGUUGGUGUCAGGUAUUCACAGGUGAUGGAGAAAGGAAGUGGAUACAGAACUUGUGGAUACAGAAAUGUUGUAUCAUUAAGAAGUUUUAGUCUGGUAUGAACUGAGGACAAAAUGGUUGUAACUCCUAAAUGGGAUGCAGCUGAUUUGUUGCCAGGAAAUAACACAGAUUUCCUAAAUAGUGUCAAGGAAUGGUAACUUGUGCCAGUCCAAGUCAGUCUGUUUGUGUUUUUGUUGAGUACAUGUACAUAUGUUUAAUGUGGAGAAAGAAAAGAAUAGUUGGUGUCUCACAAGCCUACAUCAUUAUGUUGUUGUUGAAGGAUCAAUAGAUUUUAGACAAUGGUACUGGGAUUAAUGUCAUAAUAUGGCAUUGUGAUUUCCCAAAGAUUUCUUUUCUGAUUUUAGUUCUGGUAUUUUAAUAAUGCUCACCUGUGCGUCACACCAUCAGUUCUACUAGAGGCUAAUACAAAAGCCAUUUGGUACUUACUGGUGUUCCUUUUGUAUGGCAAUUGUGUCCCCAAUAAUUCACCUGAAUUACCGGUAUGUGACAUCCUUUUUCUGGGGACUUAACUGGAGGACAACCAAAGCAGAUUUAACACUAUUUACUGACAAGGCAGCUGGAGAUGUAGUUAUUUCAGGUAUGUUGCAAAUGAAGUGAGAUGCCAGGAAUUUAGAACUUCUUGGCACUUACUACGACAUAGGGACGACAUGUGUGUAAGUGUCCCUGUGAUAAGCAGAGUUACAUGUCAAUGUCCCCGGCUUCAGUACUUACAUGUUUGUAUAAUCAGAUGAAAGUUGAAUUAAAUACUUGAUUUCAAUGAAA
rnacentral:lncRNA from 1 species